ACAACCUCAGGACCCUUGCGGGGUCUCUGGCUCUCGCCCCGCGGGUACCUGCUCGAGCUGCGGGGCUACCUCCAGCACGGCCGCCGCUUUGAGCGCUGCCAAGAUCGUCGCCGCGUCGGAUCCCCGCCGGGAGAGUGUGGCAGAGUCCGCGUUGGAGCCGAGCCGACGGUGGCCGGGCGGGCGGCCUGGCUGUGGCUGCGUAAAGUGGUACCUCCUCCGGAGCCCAGGUCACCAUGCACUGCGUACCUCCCUAGCGCAGUGCGGGGCUCCUCAGCCUAAGGACGCGUGGCAUGGGCAUGUUUUGCGGGUCCUCCUACAUGAUGAAAGGUCCUGCGUCCCACCACUCCCUGUACUCUCUGCUGGAACCAGAGGUGACUAGGCUGGAGGAGGGUCCGGAACAGAACUUAAGUACGGAAGGACUUACCACAUUCACAACGGCUGCUCUUUUCUCUCUAAGAAUCUCCAGCAAUACACAGCAGGACUGUGAGGCACAGUUCUGAGUCUCAUUGAUAUGUAACUGAAUUGCUGAGAUGGGUCAGUGAGAGCCUUCGAAGUCUAUGCUGUCUGCAGGAGCAGUGGCCACGAAUCUGGCUGAAAUGUGGGGUACACACUAAUGUAUGGGGAGACCAGUCUUAAACCACUGGAGUAGCUGGUAACUUCAACCUGCUGUGGGGAGGACUGGGCCUCCUGAGAAGGAAAUGACAGAGCUCCCUCCAAGGUCGUUGGUCAAAGGAGAUAUGACAGAAGACAAAGAAUAGGUACAACAAGAUGUAAAGUUUAUAUACAAAGAAUAUAAUGUUUAUCUGAAAUAUUUACAGUGUCGGUUAAAGCAAUAUUUUUACAACUUUUCCAGGUCAGCUACUACGUAUAUUACAGGGCAUCAUGCAAUGAGGAAUGGUUACUGUGUGCUUAUAAACUGAAGUUCUGUAGCUGGGAUGGGAAUGCAUGCAAUGGUCGGAGUUCAUGAGGGCAUAAAACGAGCAACGAAAUGUUUGAAGACUUAGAUGCCGAGUCUCACGCUGGAACCGAGGAAGACUUUGAGAUAACAGCCAGCUUUAUCUCAACUAAGUCCAGGACCCACAAGCUUAGACCACAGAGGG
rnacentral:lncRNA from 1 species